CAAAAAAUAGUUUAUUAGAAUGUUAAUUUUGGAGAUUAGGGGUAUAAUUUUUAAUUAUUUUUUUGA
rnacentral:tRNA from 1 species